UCCAAAGGGCAUAAAUGUGUAGAUUUUGGG
rnacentral:piRNA from 1 species